rnacentral:rRNA from 1 species
ACUUGUGGAUAGCGGAGAAAUUCCAAUCGAACUCGGAGAUAGCUGGUUCUCCCCGAAAUAGCUUUAGGGCUAGCGUUAUUUUAGAUUACCGGAGGUAAAGCACUGAAUGGUCUAGGGGCCGCGAGGUUACCAAAGCCUAUCAAACUCUGAAUGCCGGAUAAUUGAUGAAUAGCAGUCAGACUGUGUGAGAUAAGUCUCAUAGUCAAAAGGGAAACAGCCCAGAUCUACAGCUAAGGUCCCAAAUGAACACUAAGUGGAAAAUGAUGUGAAACUGCGAAGACAACCAGGAUGUUGGCUUAGAAGCAGCCACUCAUUCAAAGAGUGCGUAAUAGCUCACUGGUCGAGUGGUUUUGCGCAGAAAAUGUAACGGGGCUAAGUGUUCAACCGAAGCUUAGGCAUUGCAGUAAUGCAUUGGGUAGGGGAGCGUCGUAUGCGGGGCGAAGUCAGAGCGGAAGCACUGGUGGACUGCAUACGAGUGAGAAUGCCGGAAUAAGUAGCGAGAAUUAUGUGAGAAUCAUAAUGGCCGAAAAUCUAAGGUUUCCUGGGGAAGGUUCGUCCGCCCAGGGUUAGUCGGGAGCUAAGCUCAGGCCGAAAGGCGUAGGCGAUGCACAUACGGUAGAAAUUCCGUAACCACCGAACUUUAAGCUAGAGGGACGCUUUCUUUAAGGUUAUCCCGGGCGAUGGUUGCCCCGGGCGUAAGGGACCGAAAUUUAGUAGGGAAGUAACUGGCGAGAGAGACGAGAAAAGCUCUAGUGUAUACUAAGGUGCCCGUACCGCAAACCGACACAGGUAGAAGGGAUGAGUAUUCUAAGGCCAACGGGAGAAGGGUUGUUAAGGAACUCGGCAAAUUGGCCCCGUAACUUCGGGAUAAGGGGCGCCUGCGAGAGCAGGCCGCAGUGAAAAGGCCCAAGCGACUGUUUAGCAAAAACACAGCUCUCUGCUAAAUCGAAAGAUGACGUAUAGGGGGUGACGCCUGCCCGGUGCUGGAAGGUUAAGGGGAGUGCUUAGCGCAAGCGAAGGUGCGAACUUAAGCCCCAGUAAACGGCGGCCGUAACUAUAACGGUCCUAAGGUAGCGAAAUUCCUUGUCAGGUAAGUUCUGACCCGCACGAAUGGCGUAACGAUUUGGGCACUGUCUCAACAGCCCGCCCGGCGAAAUUGUAGUACCGGUGAAGAUGCCGGUUUCCCGCAACUAGACGGAAAGACCCCAUGGAGCUUCACUGUAGCUUGAUAUUGGACUUCGGUAUUCCAUGUACAGGAUAGGUGGGAGGCUUGGAAGUGAGUGCGCCAGCAUUCAUGGAGCCAUCCUUGGGAUACCACUCUUGGGAUAUUGGAGUUCUAACCUGCGACCAUGAAUCUGGUCGGGGGACAUUGUCAGGUGGGCAGUUUGACUGGGGCGGUCGCCUCCAAAAGAGUAACGGAGGCGCUCAAAGGUUCGUUCAGCACGGACGGAAAUCGUGCACUGAGUGUAAACGCAUAAACGAGCCUAACUGCGAGAAUGACGGUUCGAGCAGUAACGAAAGUUGGAGUUAGUGAUCCGGCGGUAUGUGAAUGGAAAUGCCGUCGCUCAACGGAUAAAAGCUACCCUGGGGAUAACAGGCUGAUCUCCCCCAAGAGUCCACAUCGACGGGGAGGUUUGGCACCUCGAUGUCGGCUCAUCGCAUCCUGGGGCUGAAUUCGGUCCCAAGGGUUUGGCUGUUCGCCAAUUAAAGCGGUACGCGAGCUGGGUUCAGAACGUCGUGAGACAGUUCGGUCCCUAUCUGUUGCGGGCGCAGGAAUAUUGAGAGGAGCUGUCCUUAGUACGAGAGGACCGGGAUGGACGUACCGCUGGUGCACCAGUUGUUCUGCCAAGGGCAUAGCUGGGUAGCUAAGUACGGACGAGAUAAACGCUGAAGGCAUCUAAGCGUGAAACUCCCCUCGAGAUAAGUGUUCCCAUCCUUCGGGAGUAAGGCCCCUUGU